GAAUACCGGUGGCGAAGGCGGCCCCCUGGACGAAGACUGACGCUCAGGUGCGAAAGCGUGGGGAGCAAACAGGAUUAGAUACCCUGGUAGUCCACGCCGUAAACGAUGUCGACUUGGAGGUUGUGCCCUUGAGGCGUGGCUUCCGGAGCUAACGCGUUAAGUCGACCGCCUGGGGAGUACGGCCGCAAGGUUAAAACUCAAAUGAAUUGACGGGGGCCCGCACAAGCGGUGGAGCAUGUGGUUUAAUUCGAUGCAACGCGAAGAACCUUACCUGGUCUUGACAUCCACGGAAGUUUUCAGAGAUGAGAAUGUGCCUUCGGGAACCGUGAGACAGGUGCUGCAUGGCUGUCGUCAGCUCGUGUUGUGAAAUGUUGGGUUAAGUCCCGCAACGAGCGCAACCCUUAUCCUUUGUUGCCAGCGGUU
rnacentral:rRNA from 1 species